GUCCGCCGGUUAUGACAUCUAUGUGCCGCUCGAUGGGGCCUUCCGGGCGUGGCGAGAGCUCCUUGUCUGGUCGGAGGUAUGAGCCGAGGUGCCCUCGGCGGAUGAGCUCCUCAAUUUGCCUUUUUAAUUCUCGACACUCCUCGGUGUCGUGAUCGGGCUGUCGGUGGAAACGGCAGUAUUUAGAGCGGUCCGCGAGUUCGCGCGGGCUCCUCAU
rnacentral:lncRNA from 1 species